AUUGAACGCUGGCGGCAUGCUUUACACAUGCAAGUCGAACGGCAGCGCGGGCUUCGGCCUGGCGGCGCGUGGCGAACGGGUGAGUAAUGCAUCGGAACGUGCCCAGUAGUGGGGGAUAGCCCGGCGAAAGCCGGAUUAAUACCGCAUACGACCUGAGGGUGAAAGCGGGGGACCGAAAGGCCUCGCGCUAUUGUAGCGGCCGAUGUCGGGUUAGCGAGUUGGUGGGGUAAAGGCUUACCUAGGCGACGAUCGGUAGCUGGUCUGAGAGGACGACCAGCCACACUGGGACUGAGACACGGCCCAGACUCCUACGGGAGGCAGCAGUGGGGAAUGUUGGACAAUGGGGGCAACCCUGAUCCAGCCAUGCCGCGUGCGGGAAGAAGGCCUUCGGGUUGUAAACCGCUUUUGUUCGGGAAGAAAUGCUCUGGGCUAAUACCCCGGGGGGAUGACGGUACCGGAAGAAUAAGCACCGGCUAACUACGUG
rnacentral:rRNA from 1 species